UACGUAGGGGCGAGCGUUGUCCGGAUUUACUGGGCGUAAAGAGCGCGUAGGCGGAGACUUAAGUGUGGCCUGAAAGCCCCCGCUCACCGGGAGGGUGGGCUGCGAAACUGGGGUUUCGUAGAGGGGGAGUAGAGGAAACGGUGGAAAUUCCGGGUGUAGCGGUGGAAAUGCGUAGAGAUCCGGAGGAACGACCAGUGGCGAAGGCGGC
rnacentral:rRNA from 1 species